GCAGAUGAGGGGUGGAGACAAGCACAAGUUGAUUCUCUGGAACAGAAGGUAGCUAGUCUGGAAGGAGAACUACUGGCAGCUCAAAGGCAGUGUGACCAGGCUAUCCAAAAGAGAGACGGCCUACUUAGACAAUCCGAGGCUGAUCUUCUGCAGGCGCGGGAGAAGAUCCGAAGCAAGGCGGCGGAGGCAGAGAGACAGGCCGUCUCUGCUCGAGGGCUAGAAGCUGAUCUGUAGAAACCCAAGAAAGAGAAAAGGCGAAGGGAGAAAGAGUGCGCCUCACUCAAAACACAGAUGCUUCAGCUCAGAGAACAACUGAAGGAGGCUUACACCACCCGUAGAGACACGGCAGUCUCCUGUCUGAAAUGAAACAGCCCAUCAAUUCAGAGCCUCAAGACAUCAGCUGCAUGCACAUCUUCACACACACCACUGUGGGAAUGAUGCUCGUUAGAAACAAUAUCCUCAGCAUAGAUGAAGACGGGCAGAUGUGGCCAUGGUAUAACCUGGAAAGGGAUUAGUAUGCUCUUUUAUAUGAGCUACAACAUAUAAUGAAGGAGCUGACGCAGCAGCAGGAGAAAGUUCAGCUGUUGAAGAGAGGCCAGUGUCUGGCUCAGGAGCAGCUCUCAGAGAGAAAGCUCAGAGGAGACUCCAGGCAGAGCUCAAGAGAAUAACAGACAGUCUGGAAAGCACCCAACAGGAGCUGCAGGACUCACGGAGGCUGCUGGAGCGUGUGAAGACAGAGGCCAGCAGCAGCAGACAGGAAGCCCUGAGACUCCGGCAGGAGAAACAGCAGAUCCAGGAAGAGCUGGUCGUCAACAGAGAGACCCUCUCAGCCCUGCAGACUAAAGCCGGGUGUGUGAGGGGCGACUGGCGGAGCUGCACACCCAGCAGCAGAUGACAGCCCUGCAGGCCAAAGACGAGGAAGUGCUCAUGCUAAAGCGAGCUUGUCG
ensembl:lncRNA